rnacentral:rRNA from 1 species
AGUCGUAACAAGGUUUCCGUAGGUGAACCUGCGGAAGGAUCAUUAAUGAAUUUAGAUUGAACCAUAGGCGAAAGCCAGUGGUUCUUCUUUCAUAUCCAUAACACCUGUGCACUGUUGGAUGCUUGCAUCCACUUUUAAACUAAACAUUAUUGUAACAAAUGUAGUCUUAUUAUAACAUAAUAAAACUUUCAACAACGGAUCUCUUGGCUCUCGCAUCGAUGAAGAACGCAGCGAAAUGCGAUAAGUAAUGUGAAUUGCAGAAUUCAGUGAAUCAUCGAAUCUUUGAACGCACCUUGCGCUCCUUGGUAUUCCGAGGAGCAUGCCUGUUUGAGUGUCAUGAAACCCUCAAACCCAAGUUUUGGAUUUCGAUCCAUGCUUGAGUUUGGAUUUGGAUGUUUGCCGGUGAUGAACCGACUCAUCUUAAAAGUAUUAGCUUGGAUCUGUCUAUAUGACUGGUUUGACUUGGCAUAAUAAGUAUUUUGCUGAGGACAUCUUCGGAUGGCCAGGACCUAGACUACUGUCUGCUAACUAAACCAUCACUUUAAGUGCAUCUUUGGAUGUUACUCAUUGUGUAACUUUGACAUCUGGCCUCAAAUCAAGUAGGACUACCCGCUGAACUUAACAUAUCAUAAGGAAGUAAAAGUCG